rnacentral:rRNA from 1 species
GGGCCCGCACAAGCGGUGGAGUAUGUGGUUUAAUUCGAUGCAACGCGAAGAACCUUACCAGGGUUUGACAUCCUGCGAAUCUCUUGGAAACGAGAGAGUGCCUUCGGGAACGCAGUGACAGGUGGUGCAUGGCUGUCGUCAGCUCGUGUCGUGAGAUGUUGGGUUAAGUCCCGCAACGAGCGCAACCCACGUCGUUAGUUGCCAGCAUUUAGUUGGGCACUCUAGCGAGACCGCCGGUGAUAAACCGGAGGAAGGUGUGGAUGACGUCAAGUCCUCAUGGCCCUUACGUGUUGGGCUACACACGUGCUACAAUGGUAUCUACAACAGGAAGCAAGACUGCGAAGUUAAGCAAAUCCCUAAAAGAUACCUCAGUUCGGAUUGCACUCUGCAACUCGAGUGCAUG